rnacentral:rRNA from 1 species
GACGAACGCUGGCGGCGUGCCUAAUACAUGCAAGUCGAACGCAGUGGGGACGGGUGCGUAACACGUGGGUAACCUCCCAUCAGAGGGGAUAACACUUGGAAACAGGUGCUAAACCGCUACUGAUAGAGGGACCCGCGGGGCAUUAGCUAGUUGGUGAGGUAACGGCUCACCAAGGCCACGAUGCAUAGCCGACUGGUGAGGGGUGUCCCCCCCAGUGCGAAUGAGACACGUCCCAGGCUCGUCCAAAACCAUCACAUAUACAAUUUUGGGCAAUGCACGAAAGGCGAACCAAUCAACGCCGCGUGAGUGAAGAAUUUUUUCGGAUCAUGAAGCUCUGUUGUUAGAGAAGCGGUAUCUAGCCAGAAAGCCACGGCUAACUACGUGCCAGCAGCCGCGGUAAUAC